UAAGUAGAUGUUUGGGUACAAUUUAUAGAAAAGCUGAAGGUAACCCCAACACGCAUACACUGCCUUAAUAACCAGGGAAGUCACCCCCUUGGCUCUGGGAAGCCAGCCCAGGCUUAGCUUUCGUUAUCACUGCCUCCCAGGGUGUGCUUGUCAAAGAGACACUCUGCCAUCCAGGUUCAAGGACCCACGUCUUGUGCAAGUUGAUUGCAUGGUCACCCGAUUCCUUGGUGGAUUUCACCUGUUCAUUCAGGAGGGCACAGAGAGACUGGACCACAUGGAGCAUUGCAGUGGGUGGUGGCUAGAGUGCCUUGGCUGUCAAUGUCAUUCUCCCUCAUUAUCAAAAGUGGCCCCAGAAAUUUGCUGUCCCUGACUUGACCCAUACAGAUUAAAGGUGGAAGGAGGCUGAGAUACGUGGCAUUUCCCAAAGAUGGUCACCACCCCUUAGGAUGUGAUGUGGACAGCCCUCCUAUCAAGAGGCGCAUAUGUUUCCUCUCCUGGAAUCCGAUGAGUCUGUAACCGGGUGGAAGUGACCGAUGUGACUCGCAAGGCUAGGUGAUAGAAAGGGUUGUGGUUUCUGAUUCGGAGGACGCUUUCUUUAUCUGUAAACGUAACCACCAAGUUGUGAGAAUGCCCAGGCCACACAGGGACACUCUUUGUAGAUGGUCCAGAAGAUAAAACUUUCGCUGAUAUUCCAGCCAAUAGCCAGAAUCAAUGGGCCAUGUAAAUGAAGAAACCUUUGCGAUGCCUCCAGUACCAAAAACUGUCAAACUGCAUGAGAAAACAAAACAAAACAAAAAACACUGAGAAUUGUUCCCCCAAGUUGAGAAAACCUUCAGAAUUGUGAGUUAAUAAUAAUAAAAAAAGAUUGUUGCUGUGUUAAGCCUCUACGUUUUAAAGGGUAGCAAUAGACAACUGGAACAAGAUAGAAUGGUCUCUUCAAUGCCUAAGUAGCCUUUUGCGGUCUAAAGAAUUCACAGCAUGCUGAUCACAGCAUCAAACUAAGGAACUAGAAGUCAGACUGAACUGACAAUUAAGUAGCCAUCAGUGCUCAUCUUACCUCUCAGUUCAGUCAAGAAUUCUGGGAAACCACAAAAGCCUGACAGUGUGAGGGGGGUAGUUAAAACACACACACAGCCAAUUACAAACAAUGUGAAAAAUAGUACCAUUUUGGUUUUAAAAUUUUUUUUUGUACAUAACUGACCUCACUGAGAGCAUAGAUUUUUGUCUAUUUUAGUCAUGCUGUACCCUCAAAGCCUAGAAUAGUUCCUGGUACAGAGAAUCAAUAAAAAUAUGUUGAAUGAGUGUAAACACCAUCUGGCAGAAUAAGCACCAAAAUUUAUUUUUGGUGGAUAGAAUUAUGUAUGGUUUUCUUUGAUUUUUCUAAGUUCUCCACCAUGAUCAUGGGUUACAUUUUUACUGUACUUGUAAAAGAUUGUAGUGUUUUAUUUUAAAAUAAUAAAAGCUUUUAAAUGCCUACAUAUAAACAUCUAUUUAAAUCUUUAAUCAAAAUAUUCUCAUAGGAAAAAAGAUGCAUUAUAAUAAAUCUCAAGAGAAGGCUGCGCUAUGUGGGCAGGGCCAGUAAGAAAUGCAG